rnacentral:rRNA from 1 species
CAGGAUGAACGCUAGCGACAGGCUAACACAUGCAAGUCGAGGGGCAGCAUAAAAGUAGCAAUACUUGGUGGCGACCGGCGCACGGGUGAGUAACGCGUAUGCAACCUACCUAUCAGAGGGGAAUAACCCGGCGAAAGUCGGACUAAUACCGCAUAAAACAGGGACACCGCAUGGUGAUAUUUGUUAAAGAAAUUCGCUGAUAGAUGGGCAUGCGUUCCAUUAGGUAGUUGGUGAGGUAACGGCUCACCAAGCCGACGAUGGAUAGGGGAACUGAGAGGUUGGUCCCCCACACUGGUACUGAGACACGGACCAGACUCCUACGGGAGGCAGCAGUGAGGAAUAUUGGUCAAUGGGCGAGAGCCUGAACCAGCCAAGUCGCGUGAAGGAAGAAGGAUCUAUGGUUCGUAAACUUCUUUUGCAGGGGAAUAAAGUGCAGGACGUGUCCUGUUUUGUAUGUACCCUGAGAAUAAGGAUCGGCUAACUCCGUGCCAGCCGCCGC